rnacentral:rRNA from 1 species
GACGAACGCUGGCGGCGUGCUUAACACAUGCAAGUCGAACGCUGAAGGCCUGGCUUUUGUUGGGUUGGAUGAGUGGCGAACGGGUGAGUAAAACGUGAGUAAACUGCCCUCUUCUUUGGGAUAACGCCCGGAAACGGGGGCUAAUACUGGAUAUUCACUGAUCUUUUCAUGGGGGGUGGGGGGAAGGUUUUUUUUGGUGGGGGAUGGGCUCGCGGCCUAUCAGCUUGUUGGUGGGGUGAUGGCCUACCAAGGCUUUGACGGGUAGCCGGCCUGAGAGGGUGACCGGUCACAUUGGGACUGAGAUACGGCCCAGACUCCUACGGGAGGCAGCAGUGGGGAAUAUUGCACAAUGGGCGAAAGCCUGAUGCAGCGACGCCGCGUGAGGGAUGGAGGCCUUCGGGUUGUAAACCUCUUUCGCUCAUGGUCAAGCCGCAACUGUGGGUUGUAGUGAGGGUAGUGGGUAAAGAAGCGCCGGCUAACUACGUG